rnacentral:lncRNA from 1 species
AGUAAUUACAGAAUUCCAUGGAAGCUUCAGCAUUCUGGCAAUAGAGCUUUCAACGAAAUAUGUUUAUGAAACAGCAGUGCUUUCCUAAAAUAUACUAUUUUUGUUUUCCUUAACUCCAGUUCUAAAAACAUCUAACACAUUUUGAGGUAAAGGAACCUCCUCAAGGCUGUGUUGAAUACACAUAUUGUAUUGGGUUUACGUGGCAAGGUUUUGUGACCUUUGCAAGAACUGCCAAGCACUGUCCCACAUCAGAUCAGAGUUCCAGCUGUUCCAGUAGGGUCCUACUGCUUGCGGAGCUGAGCCAAGAGUGAUGCUAGGUGUGCUCUAGGAGAGUAGACUUAAGGAAGGGAAAAGUCUCUCUGUGGCAUUUGUGAGAGAAAGAUGAAGCUUGUGGACUGACAGCCACCCCAAUCACUAUCAUCAUGAGCCACUUGGAGAGGACAAAAGUAGAGUACUGACAAUGAAGAUGAGUCUGGAAAGAAGAGGAAUGGAGGAAUGUAGUUUUUUUAUUUUUAAUUUUUUUAUUUCUUACCUUUCUACUCUAUUAUUAAUUGACAAUAGAAUUAAUCUCCUCCAAGCUGAGUACUUUUAGUCCAUAAUGAUACUCAUCAAGUGAUUUCCUUCUCCUUUAGUCAGCCCACAAGAUUUUUCAUUAUAUUUCUCCCCCUGCCUUGCUGGGGAAGGGAAGAGAGACUGCAGCCUGAUAGGAACCUGGUAGCUAGCCAAGGCCAACUCAUCAACAUGGAAAGAAAUAUAGAAAUAGGCUCUUGAACUGUUGUGAGAAGCACAUGAUAACUAAGCUACGGAGAAAAAAAAAAAAACAACAAAAAAACAAAAAAACCCCAAAACUCUUUUUUUAAAUAGUUAAAGAAUUUAUGCACAUUAUUUAGUAAAUCUUGAAAUAUACUUUUAUUCCUUGUCUUUUCUCUCCCCUGGCAGAUGAUUAAAGUACUGGUAAAAGAGAACCAAAAGAAAAACCUUCAAAUUAAGCAUGGACUUGAAGGAAAUGAGAUUAAUUUCAAAAGGUGCUGGCAGCCAAAGCAUGAUCCAAGCAGUGUCAUAGUGACAUCCUAAAUAGGAAGACUUGCAAGAAAAAUGUAGCUAUUGGGUCAAACUGAAAAGGAAGAUUAAGAUACAGAUACUGAUAUUUUUUUUGUCUCUCAGAAAGUCAAACAUGAACCCAAACUCAAAUGUGCAUCACCUCUUUGUUAAACCUCCAUAUAAAGGUAACUGUUAAUAUGCCAGUUUGAAUUUGGG